UUGAUACUCCCUCCGUCCCAAAAUUAUUGUCUUAGAUUUGUCAAGAUACAGAUGUAUCUAAUACUAAAAUAUAACUAGAUACAUCCGUAUUUAGACAAAUCUAAGACAAGAAUUUUGGGACGGAGGGAGUAGUUA
rnacentral:pre_miRNA from 1 species